AGCUAGGGGGUGGAAGAUAGGAGAGGAGAGGCAUAGACUUUGCUAUAACUGACUUUUGUUGUUCUUGCUUGCAUUCUUCUCCUUUUUAAAUCGGCCCCCUUUUCACAUUGUGUGUCGCCAUAAACGGCUUUUCUUGUUGCAGGGCUAGCGGAGAGAAGACAGCGGAGCUCCACACACACAGACAGCGGGGCUGCGCGGGGCUGCACGCCGACCAAAACACACCGGCUGCCGGGAUCGAAACCGCGCGGACUACCGUAUAGGGGGAGCCGGAAUAGACGGAAGGGGGGAGAUGCAGGACGGAUGGUGUCUGGAGCUCUGCUCCGGACAGACCGAGGCUCCCUCAUCGGAGGGUGAAGCCAGAGGAUACGAAGGGAGAUUGAAGCGAAAUGGCAUCUUGUUUAAUUUCUGCCAAUCAAGACGAGAGGAAGACAACUCCCAAACUGGCAUGACGUACCGAGAGGGUGAAGACACGAUCAAGAGACCCGGACAAUGCAUGAACCGGAUGGGAACUGGUACACGUCCUCAAGUCCUCAGGAAGGAUUUCACUCCCCUCAUAACCCUCCUGCUGGGAUAAAUGUGGUGUCCUCGGAUGGGGUGACAGGACAGAUGCUCUGGC
ensembl:lncRNA